rnacentral:ncRNA from 1 species
GAAAAGCUGCCACCGGGUAGCUGUGCAAAAGCACGUAAAACCACAUCGUUAGGUCUUAGAAGAUGUGGCUUACGUGCUUUUAUAUU